GGGAGAUUAACUCAGUGGUAGAGUGGUUGCCUUACAAGCAAUAAGUCGUUGGUUCGAAUCCGACAUUUCCCA
rnacentral:tRNA from 1 species